GUGGCGAACGGGUGAGUAACACGUAAGCAAUCUACCCUUUAGACUGGGAUAACCUUGAGAAAUCAGGGCUAAUACCAGAUAAUUCUAAGAUUCACAUGUUUCUUAGUUAAAACGGAAUGCAAAAACCGCUUUAGGAUGAGCUUGCGGCCUAUCAGCUAGUUGGUGGGGUAAUGGCCUACCAAGGCAACGACGGGUAGCUGGUCUGAGAGGACGGUCAGCCACAAUGGAACUGAGACACGGUCCAUACUCC
rnacentral:rRNA from 1 species